AGAAGAUGCAUGCUCCUACUUUAU
rnacentral:siRNA from 1 species